AUUUGGACGUAGAGGGACGCAAGCCUGAUCCUGAUCCAGCUCAUGGCGAUGCAUGAUGAAGGCCUUCGGGUUGUAAACUGCUUUUGUCCGGAACGAAACGGACUCUUUCCUAAUAAAGAGGGCUCCUGAUCAGUUCCGUGCCAAUAAGCGCCGGCUUACUACGUG
rnacentral:rRNA from 1 species